rnacentral:rRNA from 1 species
CUCUCCAGACUGGGAUGGUGUUCAUUCUGUUCAGGGGCUCAUGGAGCAUUUGCAGGCGGAGUGCGCUGAGAUGCUCGGAGCAGCUGCAUGAGCUUGGCUUUGAGGCCAGCCCUUCGGGGUCUGGUACCCGGGCUGUGGGAGUGCUGUUUGUUCUGGGUGCUGAGUGUGUGCAAUGGCAACGGGUCCGUGUUGGUUUGAGCUGGCGGUCGGUGGCGGUCGCGUGCGACACGUGCCAGCAGUCAGUUCGGUCCUGCUCGGGCUCUCAUUGCAUGUUCUCGGUGUAAAAGCCGGUCAUCUGUCCGACCCGUCUUGAAACACGGACCAAGGAGUUUAGCGUGUGCGCGAGUCAUUGGGAGUUGAAAACCCAAGGGCGUAAUGAAAGUGAAGGUCUCCUUGCGGAGCUGAUGUGUGAUCUCGUGCACCCCGGUGUGCGGGCGCAACAUAGUCCCGUCCCGAUCGCAUGCGAUGGGGCGGAGACAGAGCGUACGCGCUGAGACCCGAAAGAUGGUGAACUAUUCCUGAGCAGGAUGAAGCCAGAGGAAACUCUGGUGGAAGUCCGAAGCGAUUCUGACGUGCAAAUCGAUCGUCUGACUUGG